UCAAUAAGCGGAGGAAAAGAAACCAACAGGGAUUGCCCUAGUAACGGCGAGUGAAGCGGCAACAGCUCAAAUUUGAAAUCUGGCSUUCUGGUCCGAAUUGUAAUUUGUAGAGGAUGAUUUUGGUUAGGUACCUUCCGAGUUCCUUGGAACAGGACGCCUUAGAGGGUGAGAGCCCCGUACGGUUGGAUGCCGAGCCUUUGUAAAUCUCCUUCGACGAGUCGAGUAGUUUGGGAAUGCUGCUCUAAAUGGGAGGUAAAUUUCUUCUAAAGCUAAAUACCGGCCAGAGACCGAUAGCGCACAAGUAGAGUGAUCGAAAGAUGAAAAGCACUUUGAAAAGAGGGUUAAAUAGUACGUGAAAUUGUUGAAAGGGAAGGGCUUGUGACCAGACCUUUGCCUUGCGGAUCAUCCGGUGUUCUCACCGGUGCACUCCGCUUGGUUGAGGCCAGCAUCAGUUUUGGCGGCGGGAUAAAGACUUUAGGAACGUGACUCCCCCGGGAGUGUUAUAGCCUACUGUGUAAUACCGCCACCGAGACUGAGGACCGCGCUUCGGCUAGGAUGCUGGCAUAAUGGUCAUCAGCCACCCGUCUUGAAACACGGACCAAGGAGUCGAACAUUUAUGCGAGUUUUUGGGUGUUAAACCCUCAAGCGUAAUGAAAGUGAACGGAGGUGAGAGCCCUUACGGGUGCAUCAUCGACCGAUCCUGAUGUCUUCGGAUGGAUUUGAGUAAGAGCAUAACUGUUCGGACCCGAAAGAUGGUGAACUAUGCGUGGAUAGGGUGAAGCCAGAGGAAACUCUGGUGGAGGCUCGCAGCGGUUCUGACGUGCAAAUCGAUCGUCAAAUCUGCGCAUGGGGGCGAAAGACUAAUCGAACCAUCUA
rnacentral:rRNA from 1 species